GCGGGAUUAGUAUAGUGGUAAUAUGUAUCCUUCCCAAGGAUAAGAUGCCAGUUCGAUUCUGGUAUCCCGCU
rnacentral:tRNA from 1 species